rnacentral:lncRNA from 1 species
GGAAGCCUUGAAGCAUGAGUGCGUCUAUAUCGCCAAAUAAAAUGUGUCAGACAGCUAAUCCCGUAUCACCCAUUGUAAAAUUUAGAGGAAAAAUAUCAUCCCGUCAUGAUACCACUCAUUUCUACUCUGUCCUAUAUAUUUUGGCCUACUGACAUAUAGUAUAUGUUGAUUUGGCAAGGAAAGAAGCAUAUAUACAUGU